GCGGUGGUUACGGAGUCCCCAGAGGUGGUUAUGGCAUGGGUUCAGGUGUGACCAGCGCCUGGGAUUAGUCCAGUUAGCGAGCAAGAAAGCUCCCCAAGUCAUAUUUACUGUUUGGUUUGAACACGUAUAUGGAUGGAUCUGGUUCCGAAACUUCCAUUAGAACUAAGUACGAGAAAUUUUCCGAGUAGUAGGUUCUACUAACAAUGAAGGAUUUGUGUACACUAUUUUUGUCUUUUUUUUUGUUCUGGAGGUUGAAUAGGGUUAGUAGGUUUUUACUUAGCCCCUAACUGAAAUUGAAAUUGUCUUUUGUUCUACUGUGACCAGAAACUAUAUGAUAACCACAUUUUGAGAGCAAAAAUCAUUGUCUUUCUCUACUUUGUUACACCAGUUUUGUCUGUGGGAAUAUAUACCCUUCCCUGUAACAUAUAACAAUUUGAUCGUCAUUGUUAUUGAUGGUCUGUAUAGUGAUGUUUGCUGACGGUUGGAAGCUGUAAUCAUACAGAUCAUUACAGAGCUGAAUGUGUUUGUUAUAUCUGAAUCAUAGAUCGUACAAAAUUGUUACAAUUUAUGAGUCUCUCCCAAGAAUAAUACAAACUACUCAAUGUCGGCGGUCUUCUCAUUCAUCAUCAGACAUUUCGUCGUAGCAAGACUCAGACCCAUCGUCGUCCUCGGACUCUUCUUCUUGCCCGGAUUCUUCUUCACCUGCAUCGUUCAUCAGCAUCUCUAGAGGAACCAUGCUAGCACCUUUGCCGCGGUAAAGAACACCGGUUCGCAUCACGUGAUAGAACUUCUCCCAAUUUAUUAUGUCUGGCUUUUAAUAUAAUUACAGAUACAUGAUGAAGCCAAAAAAUUUUCUUACCAAACUGGUGUAAGAGUGGUUGUUGCUUAUGGAGGGGCACCGAUUGUGAAUCAGGUUUGUCAUUAUCUAGUUUCAGUAAGUCUGAAAAUGAGAUUUUUACCUUGCGUUUUAAACUCUUUUUUGUUUGCUUGAACAGUUGAGAGAACUUGAAAGGGGAGUUGAUAUUCUUGUAGCAACUCCGGGUCGAUUGGUUGACUUGCUUGAGAGGGCUAGGGUGUCAUUGCAGAUGAUCAGAUUCUUGGCACUUGAUGAGGCUGAUAGGAUGCUUGAUAUGGGAUUUGAGCCUCAGAUCAGAAAGAUAGUUGAACAAUUGGACAUGCCCCCAUCUGGGAUGAGGCAGACUAUGCUUUUCAGUGCUACUUUUCCUAAAGAAAUACAGGUUUGUUCAAUUCUGUUUCUCCUCAGAUAAACUUUGUUAUUAUUUCUAAUGAAUAGACCGUACAGUGAUAUUUAUUUAUGGUAGUACGGUACCUUACUGUAGUUUUGGAUUUGUACACGCAGAGACUUGCUUCAGAUUUCCUAUCAAAUUACAUUUUCUUGGCUGUUGGAAGGGUUGGCUCCAGCACUGACUUGAUUCUUCAGAGAGUUGAGUAUGUUCAAGAUGCUGACAAGAGAAGCCAUCUCAUGGACCUUCUUCAUGCACAGAAAGAAAGUGAAGCUAAUAGCAAGGUAAUGUUUUCUCCUUACCUGUAGAAGCUGUUUGUGUUAUCCCAGGAUGAGUAUGUUGUUUAUGAGCAUAUUGGCCUUUUCUUGUACCUGCAGCCAUCCUUGACAUUAGUGUUUGUGGAGACCAAGAAGGGAGCUGAUUCUCUGGAGUAUUGGUUGUGUCAAAACGGGUUCCCUGCUACUACAAUUCAUGGUGAUAGAUCACAGCAGGUCAGUUUCUUCUAAAUUGUACUACAAAAGGGGCAGGCAUGUUUCGAUUUUCUGUAGUGGUUCAAUGCUUAAAGCGCUGCAAGCUGAAUGAGAUAAUUAAUUUUACUACAAUGCAACGCUAGGGUUGUAGUUCAUAUUGUUCUGUAUGAAACACCAAUUGACGAGGAAGGGCAUAGGCGAACGUUUGAAACCAUGUUACAGUUGUAUACUGUACACAUUGUAUAUGCUAGUGGCUCUAUUGUAUGAAUAAUUACUUUUGAAGGUUCCACGGCCCUGAAAUUUAAGAACAAAUACCGGAGAAUUCAAGGCGGCUAAUAAUUUUCGUUGGACUUUUCUGCAGGAAAGAGAACUUGCAUUGAGAUCCUUCAAGAGUGGAAGGACCCCAAUUCUAGUGGCGACAGACGUAGCUGCCCGUGGUCUGGACAUACCUCACGUGGCUCAUGUCGUCAACUUCGAUCUCCCCAACGACAUCGACGAUUACGUCCACAGAAUAGGCCGUACCGGGCGAGCUGGGAAAUCCGGCCUGGCUACAGCCUUCUUCAACGACAACAACGGCUCUUUGGCAAGGUCGCUGGUCGAGUUGAUGCAAGAAGCAAAUCAAGAAGUUCCUGCCUGGUUAGUCCGAUACGCUUCACGCUCGUCGUACGGCGGAGGCAAGAAUCGCCGAUCUGGCGGAGGGCGCUUUGGUGGACGAGACAUCAGAAGGGAAGGAUCCUUCAGUAGGGGAGGUGGAGACUAUCACGGUGGGGGCGGCGCUUUCAGUAGAGGUGGUGGAGAUUAUCACGGUGGAGGAGGAGGCAGCGGCGGCGGUGGUUACGGAGUCCCCGGAGGUGGUUAUGGCAUGGGUUCAGGUGUGACUAGCGCUUGGGAUUAGGCCAGUUGGCGAGCAACCAUUCUGGUGGUUGAAAAAGCUCCCCAAGUCAUAUUUUAUUGUUUGGUUUGAACACGUUGGUUCCGAAACUUACAUUAGAACGAAGUAUAAGAAAUUUUCUUAGUAGGUUCGCUAACAAUGAAGGAGUUGUGUACUAUUUUUUUGUCUUCUUUUUGUUCUGGAGGUUGAAUAGGGUUAGUAGGUUUUUACUUAGCCCCCCAACUGAAAUUGAAUUUGUCCUUUGUUCUGCUGUGACAAAAAACUAUAUGAUAACCCACAUUUUGAGUGAAAAAAUCAUUGCCUUUCUCUACUUUGUUACACGAAUUUUGUCUGUGGGAAUAUAUACACUUCCCUGUAA
rnacentral:lncRNA from 1 species